UUGUUAGGGAAGAACAAGUACAAGAGUAACUGCUUGUACCUUGACGGUACCUAACCAGAAAGCCACGGCUAACUACGUGCCAGCAGCCGCGGUAAUACGUAGGUGGCAAGCGUUAUCCGGAAUUAUUGGGCGUAAAGCGCGCGCAGGCGGUUUCUUAAGUCUGAUGUGAAAGCCCACGGCUCAACCGUGGAGGGUCAUUGGAAACUGGGGAACUUGAGUGCAGAAGAGAAAAGCGGAAUUCCACGUGUAGCGGUGAAAUGCGUAGAGAUGUGGAGGAACACCAGUGGCGAAGGCGGCUUUUUGGUCUGUAACUGACGCUGAGGCGCGAAAGCGUGGGGAGCAAACAGGAUUAGAUACCCUGGUAGUCCACGCCGUAAACGAUGAGUGCUAAGUGUUAGAGG
rnacentral:rRNA from 1 species